AUAAUGUUGUAGUUCAUAAACUUGAUGAUUGGGUUAUCAUGCGACUGCAUGAGGUGUGCCACCCACAAGGCUUGUUACAAACAUCAGCACAUUACCCGUCUGACA
rnacentral:snoRNA from 1 species